GCAGGGCUUCAACAAUAGACAUUUGUUAAUAUUUCUUCUGAAAGUUGGGAAGUCCAAGAUUGAGGUGCUGGCAGAUUCUGUGUCUAGUGAGGGCCACUUUCUGGCUCGUAGACAACCAUCUUCUCCUUGUGUCCUCACAUGGCAAAAGGAAAGAACUCUGACCAUUUCAGAGUUCUGUGUAAAAGCACUAAUCCCAUUCAUGAAGACUCCACUAUCAUGAUGUAAUUACUUUUCAAAGGCCCUGCCUCCUUAUACCAUCACACUGGGGGGUUAGGGUUGCAGCAUAUGAAUUGGAAACUAGGGAACACAUUUUGUCUAUGGUACUAACCCACAUCCAAUUCAUGAGCAAAUCCAUAGGCUCCACCUUCAACAUUUAUUCAGAAGUUAACUUUGAUCACCACCUCCACAGCCACCAUCUUAGUCCAGGACAUCAUCAUCUCUUACUUGGAUUAUUGCAGUAGCUUAACUUGUCCCCCUGACUGUGCCAUUUCUAAGGCAGUCUGUCCUCAACCCAGCAGCUCUUCUGUCAGUUUGCCAGGACUUAGACUUCUAUGAAUCCAUGAAUGUGGGCUGGCUCUGCGAACACUGCUGUGAAGGCUACAUUUUUUUGCGGACCACCUAGGCACAGUUCUGGAGGCGAGCAAGUCCAAGAUCAAAGCACUGGCAGCUUCUUUGAGGGUCUGUUCCAGUAAAAGCAUCUUCUUGCAACAACAUCCUC